GAUGAACGCUGGCGGCGUGCCUAAUACAUGCAAGUCGAGCGAACAGACGAGGAGCUUGCUCCUCUGAUGUUAGCGGCGGACGGGUGAGUAACACGUGGAUAACCUACCUAUAAGACUGGGAUAACUUCGGGAAACCGGAGCUAAUACCGGAUAAUAUGUUGAACCGCAUGGUUCAACAGUGAAAGACGGUCUUGCUGUCACUUAUAGAUGGAUCCGCGCUGCAUUAGCUAGUUGGUAAGGUAACGGCUUACCAAGGCAACGAUGCAUAGCCGACCUGAGAGGGUGAUCGGCCACACUGGAACUGAGACACGGUCCAGACUCCUACGGGAGGCAGCAGUAGGGAAUCUUCCGCAAUGGGCGAAAGCCUGACGGAGCAACGCCGCGUGAGUGAAGAAGGUCUUCGGAUCGUAAAACUCUGUUAUUAGGGAAGAACAAAUGUGUAAGUAACUGUGCACAUCUUGACGGUACCUAAUCAGAAAGCCACGGCUAACUACGUG
rnacentral:rRNA from 1 species